AUGGAGGUCCUGCUGUGGGGCUGGUGCAGUGGGAAAUGCAGUGGGGGAAACCUGGGGGUGCACGGCUGGGGCAGAUGGUGCCUGGGGGUGAUGGCUGUGGGCAGCCCAGCUGGGGAGGCUGCUGAGGGAGUUGGGGAGCUUCAGCCUUCAUCCCCCAGCCCCGAGAUGGGAGCCAGGGCUGGGCAGCACCUUGGCCUGUGCACCCCAGCCCCUGUUCUUCUUGCAGGUGCCUGCAGAGCGAGAUGCCCAAGGCAGCAGCACGUUGACAGCCCACAAGAAGAAGACACCAACAACGACAAUAUUCAGUCAGGAUCACAAUCCAGAUCAGAGGAGGAAGAAAUACCUUGCAAAGCAUCUCACCCUUCUGUCGGUACGAACAUUUCCCAAAGCUGCGAAACCAGAGAAUGCAGGUGGGCUGGGACGACAAGCUCAGGCCAAGUGUAAUUAAAGCUGGACACAAAAAAUAGGUAAGAACAUAUAAAAUCUUUAAUGUUGUCCAUCGAGGGCAUUUAAAUUCAGUCUCCAUUAUUUCUUCAACUAUGAGCAGAAUCAUGGCACUAAGCGGUAGAGACAACACAUUAGAAUUAUUUUUCCAAUAUUUCAUAAAUUCCUUUCUGGCUGGCAUUUUGUUCAGCAGCCAAUACUGCCCCAACUUGGGAGGACUAAGGAAGUCUUCUAUGCUUCCAUCUCACCCAGUUUUUCUUCUUACACACUUCUUGUAGCCGUUUCUACAAAUGAUUAGCAGCAGACCAGAAGUGAAAAUGAAACCACACUGCAUAUCCACCAAUGAUCUGACUUUGUAGGUUUUUUAACUUGUGCUUUUUGCUUGCCAGUUUAACGGCUGAUUUAUCUAAACCAAAGCCAGAGGAACAAAAGCACUGAGGAAAGAGGCAAAAGGACUUGGGGAGUGGCAGCGUAAGCUGGUUGCAGAUGACUGGGACAGUGCUGAUCACAAAGAACCUGGAAAAAUGCUUGGGGCUGCAUGCAGCCUCUGCACAGCUCUGUGUGGUCUUUGAGUUUCCUUCUCUCUGGCGCAAUCUCAUAGCGAUGAUGGGAUUUCUACACGGAUCCCAAAUUCCUCAAAACUGCAUGGAAAUUAUUUUACACAGGGGCAGAUGAUACUUCAACAAAUACUUAUAGAGUAUUAUGUAUAUAAUACAUGUAUAAUACAGUAUAAAAUAUUAAGGAGAGCCCCUGCAGGAGCAGGGGUUCUGGGGGGAGCUGCUGCCUGUGGGGGACUCAUGAUGGAGCAGAUCUUGAAGAUGGGGGGGGGGGGGGGGGAAAGGUGUUUUCAGUUUGGUUUUAGUUUCUCACUGCUCUAGUCUGUUAUCAAUAGGCAAUAAAUUACAUUGACCUCCCUUGUGCUGAGUCCA
rnacentral:lncRNA from 1 species